ensembl:lncRNA
UUUUUUUUUUUUUUGUCUUCCGCAAAGCUAUUAGGUCUGUAUGUAGGAGAUGGCAGCCUUAAUAUUCAUCCAAAUGGGAAAAGAGAAAUAAGACUUCCAGUAAUUACAGUGGAACUUAGACACAAAGUUUCUGCAUAUGUGCCAUUGUCAAUGAAAAAACAUUCAUGUUUCCAAUUCCUAUUGGAUAUUCAAUACCUCCUGAGCAUAAAUAUCUCCUAAGUUCUAGAAAGAAUACAAUUCUUGUUACAGCAAACACCAGAAGGAGCUUUUCAGUUCCUCUCAUGGCUGGCACUGUUGCUUGUCCUGUUUUGCAUUCCUUCCCAGUUUAAAGAGCUUUUUCUUUGUCGUUUCUGAUGUGUUACAGUUUCCAGACUCGAUUCAAAAUACCAUUUGCACAUUUAAAUCCACUUCAACAACUGCUUGUAGACAGACUGAAGGAAAGUGCAACAGGAAAAACAAUCCAUGCUGUCAUCAGAAAACCUUUCCAAAACUUUGAGAAACAGCAGAGAUCUCGCUGGAAGCAAAGGUGCUCUGCUUGAAAUGUAAUCAGUAUUUUCCCCUUCAGCUUUUUUUUUUCUCUUUUCCUUAUAGACAGUUGCUUCCACUGCACCUUCAGCCACCACUAAAUCUAUAUGAAAUUAAUCUUCUUCUAAUGAGUUUGUACCAAAAAAAAAGUGGGGAUAAAAGCAUGGAAGCACGAAGGUGGGAUUUAGGCCAGUAUAGCCCAUUGAAUUUUUUAGCGCCGCAUUAAUUUUAUCUGCUGAGUCCUCCCAGCCUCACCAAUGUGUCAAGACUCUAUUUGUCCUGCAACAGCUGCAGUCAGGGCUGGCAAACUGUACACAGAGGUGCAGCUGAAAGAGACCUUCAAGAUUUUCUGAUCCAACCCUCACCUCAGCACCACCACAGUCACCUCACUCCUAAACCCCAGCAUCACAUCCAGAAGGUCUUAAAAGGACUCUAGGCAGACACAGAAGUGCUUGUGUCAAGGUGCUGAAUUGGCCUACAAACACAUGGAUUAGCCUAAAUUCUUCUGGUGCCACUGCUGGAAACUUGGAAGUGGCAAUUGGAAAGUCACCUCUGAUGAUGUAAAAGUUAAAGGAAUUCAGUUUGAGUAAGGUCCUAAGAGAAACAGCUCUGCAAGUUCAGCACACACAGGGUUUUGUAGGCAAAUGAAAGCCACAUAUUUGUGUUGCUGACACCAUCUCUAAGCUCAUGUACCUCACAAUCUCAAAAGAAAUUCUUUGUUUAGUUUUAUCACAGAUGAAAUUACAGCUACAUGGGUAUCACUGGUUCAGGGUAAGCAAAAAUGUGAAAAAAUCAUUUAAGCUUGCCAUUCAAAUAAGAGCUUGAUAUGCAGUGAGGAUCUUAGAAACCAAACUGAGCAGGAUAUUCAUGAAUUUGAGGUGACCUGUCAGUCUGGUCCUUGAAGGAGAAACUCAUUAGAGGCAGAGGUUUCUCCUCUGGGAAGGGGAACAUGUAAAUCUUGCAUGUCUGCAUCGCUGAGAGAGGAGAAACGUGAAGAAGUUGCUGACUGGAAAAGGGCUGGGUUUGCUUCUGGUGUCAAACGUGGCUCUUGGUGGGAGGUCCUAGCAAAGGAAGGGACCCCAGUAGGGGACAUGAGGCUGGCAGCAGGAGCCUGAAGAUGUGGCACUUCUGAUGUGCUCCAAUGACCAAGUCCUGGGGUUCCUCAUUUUCAACACUUGGUAAUCAAAGAGUCUCCCUUUAAUCAGAGCUUUGCACCUCAUCAAGCAGCUCUGAAGCAAACAUCAAUUCUCCUUUCUUACAGUCUCAUUUCUUGCAUCAUUAACCUAUUUGCUCUUCACAUUAUGAACUUGUCUGAACUUUUCCAAUCUCUGAAACCACUUCUCAGAAUUUUUUCAAUCUCUAAACCGACUUCUCUGAACAAACCCUUUUUGUAAUGAAAUUUCUUUGCUUAUGGGACAGAAUGUCAGUCCCUUAGUGGAAAAAAAAGAUUGUUCUGUGCAAGAUUUUUUACAAGCCUCAAAUAUAUUUGGGGGCUUUAUUUGAAUAUUUUGCCCUUUUUUUAAGGAAUUAGGUUCCAGUGCAGGAGAUCAUUGAGGAUUCAUUCCCGUGCAUUUUUCCACUGUUGAGCAAAGUCAUUUACAUGAGAGGAGCUUUCAGAACUUUUUGUUGUUGUUUGAACUUCUCGUGCAAAACAUGACAUAAAACCUAACAAAGGGAACAGAUUGUUUACGACUGUAGCUUUCUUUAUUAUUAGCCUAACAUUGUUUUUGAUUUAUUUUGUGCAACAAAAAUAACAGCUUUCUGUGCUAGAGACAAUUAAUUUUACGCUCUGGAAAAUCUGGUGCGUUUUUGCAACAUCUGAAUCCAUUUCACAGUAACAGAUUCAAAUGUCACAAAGUCAAAAGCUGCCACAUAAAAGAUGAAAAUUAUAAAUAUCAAGGGCAUGUUUGUCACUUCUCUUAUCUAAGUCAGCAUUCCCGAAGACUUCUCAGCCAGAAGCAUUGGAUAGCUCUUUCUAUUUGCUCUUUUCUUGCUCAAAGCCGCACAUAAUCUGUGCUACAUUAAAGAGAAAAAAACCUGUAUUUCCAUAGCCCUCACUGCUGCCCUGAAAUAAUUUCCACUUGUAGUAUCUACCUGAAGGGAGAACUUUUAGGAAAGGUCUUAAAAAUUAUUUUGUAACUGCAUAUUGUAUUUUUUAUUAUGUUUAAUGUUAAUGGCUUGAAUUGAAAAAAAAAUCUCUUCUCAGGAAUUCCUUUAACAUUGCAUAAAUUAAAUCUUAUACCAAACUCUCCUUGAAUUUCAAUUUAAUUUAUUUUAUUUAAUUCUUCCAUAUCUGCACAUGGUCUCUGUUAUGACAGCAGGGCAUAUGACAUGUUGAUUCUGACACUAUAAAAAUUCACAUUAAAUUUUCCAAGAAAUUCUGACUGCCAUAGUUUGGUCCAUUUUUCAAAAAUGAUAAACAGUUAUCUCAGUUCCGGGUACAACUUUGUGAUCACCAGGUUUUUCUGGACAGAAGUGUUGGAACAUCUCGUGCUCUUACAUUGUGAUUUCUCAGCAUAAUGCUGGUAUGUUUGAAAUCUUGCUGGACAAACUCAAGAGAAACCAAUAAAUCAUCACUUGAGUGGUGGCUGUGUCUCCUUGGCUAUGCACAGGGCUAAAACUGAGGUCAGUUUUUCUCAGCUGGGCUGGGGGAAGACUCCUCAUGCAGCAAAACUUUAUCUACACGGAACAGAUUUUACCAGACACUCCUUAUCCCACAGUUGCAAACCAAUGGCCUAGAAAUGACAUGAGCUGGAAUGACAUAAUGGAACACUUCUCCUCAAAACUGGAAUAUUCAGCCAGAAGAACUGGCUGUGGAACUGCCUGGCUCACCUAUCUGUCUUUUGAACACUUGCCUGCUCCAAAACUGCAUGGAUUAAAGUGCAGAAACUGCCUUUGCUCCAGUAUGCAACUCGAUAGGAACUCCAUUCCAGGAGUGAAUUACCACAUCUGCUGAUCUCUGCACCUCAUGCAGCAGCUCCAUCCCGGGGAGCCUCUCUCCACAGGGCUGGGUGUUCCAGGCAUGACAUCACUGGAAAUGGUGCCAGAUUAAAUUACAUGGGCAGAUGGAUAGCACAGGAUUCAGCAGAUUCUUGACACGAGCACAGUCUUUGCGUUUUUUGCAUCUAUGGAUUUAAAGCUACGUUUUCAAAUAAAUUUGCAAGCAGUUGUUCUCACAUGCAGCGAGUCUUCCUCUUAGGGAAUCCACAUUUACCAGAGGGAAAGAAAACAGAUCCCUGGAGGAACUAUUUCCUAUCGGGAUUGCAUCCAUCCGUAACUGUGUGUACAAACACAGCACCUAAAAUACCUUUUUUUUCAGGAGAAUAUAUCAUCUUUAUCCUGUGACAUGGGGGUCUUGUUGCUCUCCUGUAAGCAAGAGCAUCAAGAAAGUAAUUUAAAAGUGUUUCACUAUUAAAAGCCAUCUGGUUUUGUGAGGCUGCUGAGUUUUCACUCAAAGUUUUGGUAAAGAUUGGACUUAAAUCUUGGAUUUCCAAUUGUACCUUGGGCUCUUAGGCUGUGCUAGGAAAGGGGAGGUGAAGAAUUCUUGUUCCUGAGAAAUUAUUUCCAAAAUUCCAGGCAUCUUCACAAUGACGCUGCUUCUAUUCACUUUUGAAAUGUUGAAGCACCUGGUCAGCCUCUCCUAAAAAGUACAGUCAGCAGAGAGGCACAACUGAACCUCCACCCACUGCUCCUCACACUGCAAGAUUUGGGCUAAACUGGAGCAGAGGAACAUUUCUAGGGAGAGAGAAUAAGAUCUUUCAGAAUCUGUGGUAUUGAUGAUUCCGAGAUUGUAGAAAGUCUCUGUCUUUCUGCCCCACUGCCAAAGAAGGAGCCAUAAUUCGUCUGUGCUGGUUUCAAGGUUGUUUAUUCUGUUUAUCUCUAACAUGUUCUGCUGCCCUGCCGUAGGUCUGUCCUGCAGGGCAGCGUGUGGGGCUCUGCCCUCAGUGGGAUGUUACAAACAUUAUAUACCAGAAACUACCUGUGCUAUAUUUACAAUAAUGUGCCAAUAUCUGUCACCUACAUUGAACAGUGUGUCCCCAGCCUAAAUCAACAGAAAAAUGCCAACACUGCAGUGAAACAUGGAGGGCAUGAAGAAGGAGAAAAAGGACAAGACACACCCAAUUUCCUCCAUCUUGUCCCCUUUGAACCCCUAAUCUAGAAUCCUAAAAUUUUACUUUUGCACCCGUGCCACACUUAAUUAUUACUUAUAUCAAACACUCAGAGCUUGUAAUUCAUCCUGUAAGAUUGAAAACUCUUUUCCAUGGACAGAGAUCACAGACAGUAUCUCUGGGGGCUCUGUCCAGGGGGGUUCCUGACCCCUGCCAGGGUCCCAGACCUUCCAGGGCAGCCAGAGGGAAGCCCUGGAUUCCCACAGGAUUGAUCCUCUUCGGGGCUUUGGCAAGGCAAGGGGUGGCAAGAAAACACUUCGUGUUGCCCGCACCUUUGUACCUGAAUUGGACCUGAUGCCAUCAGGCCUCAAGCAUUGUGAGACAGUGGUUAAACAACCAGAGAGAAGCACUUGGGCAUCCAGCCAGAAUAAGAUCCCAGCAGGAAAACAAUUGGAGCUGCCACAUUAUCCUUGACCAGCUGAUGUGAAACUUGGGAAUUUUUUUAAGGGAAAAAAAUCGGUUUUGCAAUGUGAACUUCCUUAGCAGCAAAGUGAAGCAAAAUAUAUGAGGAAGAUUAUGAAUUAUGCUGUGUCCAUCAAGUUCUGCCACUUAGUAGCUCCACUGGAAUGGCAGGCCAAAGGAAAAUGUAGAUGCAUGUGUCCUAUACCGGGUCUGUGGCCUUCACUGUCCAAAGAAACACAAACAUUUAGGGAACAGCAUUUACUGGGCAUUUGGACAAAUCCAAGUCAGCUUUUCAGAAGGGACAAAAUGUUAUGCAGUGACCAUAAAUAACAACUCUGCACAGUGAAGUUGAGCCUUCAGAGAUGAGAUAUGUUA